GCGCCCGUAGCUCAGCUGGAUAGAGCACCAGACUAUGAAUCUGGGGGCAGGAGUUCGAAUCUCUUCGGGCAGGCG
rnacentral:tRNA from 1 species